GCCAGUUUCUAUAAAGGCUUCGGUGGAGGAAUUCAAGAAGGAGGUUUUGGAAGUAGGUUGGAGGGUUAGGAAAAUUUUGUAUAUGUUGUUAUAGAAAAAACGGAUUGGUUAUAGGGAGGUGGAAGUUAGUUUGUGGAACGAAUGCUUUGGCAGCAGAAAAAAUGCAGGGUAUUUGGUGAAAAUGGGCAAUUGACUAAAGCAUUCAAGAAUGGUUUGUACUUGAAGAAGCAAUGGCACAUGGAAAUAGUCAGAAGUCCAAAGUGGAAGAAAUAUGGCUUGUAUGAGAGUGAAAUAUGGAUUUAGGGUUAUAGUUGGAAUUUGGUUUAUUAUUGUAAUGAAACAAUAGAAAUUGAAUUUAUGGUUAUGAACUUAAAAUGAUUGUAAUUUUGUAAUCUUGAAUGGUAAUGGUAUGGAAGAUGUAAUGGUUGUAAUGUAAGUUGUUGGAAUUCAAAUGAUAUGGUUUAUGUAUGGAAUGGUCAAUAUUGAAAUGAUGUAUUUAUGAA